CUACGCACUCCGUACGGGAGGCAGCAGUGGGGAAUAUUGCACAAUGGGCGCAAGCCUGAUGCAGCCAUGCCGCGUGUAUGAAGAAGGCCUUCGGGUUGUAAAGUACUUUCAGCAGUGAGGAAGGUGGGUAUGUUAAUAGCAUACUCAUUUGACGUUAGCUGCAGAAGAAGCACCGGCUAACUCCGUGCCAGCAGCCGCGGUAAUACGGAGGGUGCGAGCGUUAAUCGGAAUUACUGGGCGUAAAGCGCAUGCAGGUGGUUUGUUAAGUCAGAUGUGAAAGCCCGGGGCUCAACCUCGGAAUUGCAUUUGAAACUGGCAAACUAGAGUACUGUAGAGGGGGUAGAAUUUCAGGUGUAGCGGUGAAAUGCGUAGAGAUCUGAAGGAAUACCGGUGGCGAAGGCGGCCCCCUGGACAGAUACUGACACUCAGAUGCGAAAGCGUGGGGAGCAAACAGGAUUAGAUACCCUGGUAG
rnacentral:rRNA from 1 species